GAUGAACGCUAGCGGCAGGCUUAACACAUGCAAGUCGAGGGGUAGAAGGAGCUUGCUCCUUUGAGACCGGCGCACGGGUGCGUAACGCGUAUGCAAUCUACCUUUUGCAGAGGAUAGCCCAGAGAAAUUUGGAUUAAUACCUCAUAGUAUAGUACUUUGGCAUCAAGGAACUAUUAAAGUCACAACGGCAAAAGAUGAGCAUGCGUCCCAUUAGCUAGUUGGUAAGGUAACGGCUUACCAAGGCUACGAUGGGGUAGGGUCCGUGAGAGGGAGAUCCCCCACACUGGUACUGAGACACGGACCAGACUCCUACGGGAGGCAGCAGUGAGGAAUAUUGGACAAUGGGCGCAAGCCUGAUCCAGCCAUGCCGCGUGCAGGAAUAAGGUCCUAUGGAUUGUAAACUGCUUUUAUACAGGAAGAAACCANACCCUCGUGAGGGUACUUGACGGUACUGUAUGAAUAAGGACCGGCUAACUCCGUGCCAGCAGCCG
rnacentral:rRNA from 1 species